CAAAAAGGCCACCGAACAGUGUGUUAGAAGUUGAUCUAGAUUUUGAACACAAUGUUAGACCCGCCCCUCCAAUCACAGAGGAGGUUACAGUAGCAGUUGAGGAUAUGAUCCGGAAAAGGAUCGAGCAGGAACUUUUUGAUGAUGUUCAAAGGGCUCCUACUUUACCUACUAAAGCUCCAAGAGAAAGAAAGGAGAUGUUGAUCAUUAUUCUAUAAUAUCUUUGGAGUCUAAUUAUGGUAUGUUGUAGAAACAUUAACUUCUUCAAUGUCUAAUCUUUCUUUGUUUGAUAUAUAGGAUGAGAGUAAGAGUAAGAAAGGUCUGGCUGAAGAUUAUGAGCACAAAAGAUGAAUGCAGAUUCUGGCCCAUUUUCAUCCAAAGACAAGUAGAAGAAUGAGGUACAUGUUUUGAUUGCUGUUGUUUCUAUCUCUACUACGAUUUUAUGUUUCUUUGUAAUUCAUAGAACUUUACUCUCCUUG